rnacentral:lncRNA from 1 species
UUCGACAUUGAGAACGUAAUCCGGAGUUCUCUUUCAACCAAGAAAGCGUGCGGACUUCAGUCAAAAACCUAUGAAGGUAUUUCUUAUUUAAAGAAAUCCUGCUUCAACUGCCAGUACUAGGCCCGUCCUUGGAUUUACGGGCUUCACCUCACCUGCUGGAUUCUCCACUUGUGCUGGGCCUACCUCGGAUACCAUUCUUGACCCAUUUGAUAACGCGCCCUAGGUUGCUUUGUUUCGUUCACUGCUUGUUGUAUUUUCGUUUCGGCUUUGUUUUGGUUUUGAUGUACUCAACUAUCUUGGGCCCGUUCCCAGAAUUCUUGACUCACUUUAUCAGACUUUAUGAGUUAUCUACUUGAUUUGAAUUUUAACCCUAACGUAAAUACCUGAGGCUCAACGUAAUGAUUUUUCAAACUUGG